AACUAUGGACCACGUUGU
rnacentral:snRNA from 1 species